rnacentral:misc_RNA from 1 species
AAACCGUAAGAGAGGAAUGUCGAUGUAGGAAACGAAACAUAAGUUAUUGGAGUUGAAGACUACACCAAAACAGAAUGUCUUCUCCAGGAUUAUUUGACGCCUUCCGCUCAAAUGGCGCCCCGACCUACUACGACUCCAACAAAACGCCGUUUAUGGCGGAUAUUUUGGAGUCGGGACUUAUCUACGCCUUCGUUAUCGUCGCUUUCUCCUUCUUUAUCAUCCUUCCCGGUAUCCGUGGAAAAGAGAGAAUAUUUGUGCUUAUUCGGGUGACGGUCACUUUGUUCAUCGGUGGAGUAAUCAUGUUGACGAACUUUGGGUACGAGUGGGAGGUAGCCGAGGCGAAGAAUGUGAGAACCAAAUACAAGGCGGGGUCUGCAGGGGAGAUAACUGCUGACAUUGCGGUGUACAUGGGGCUCCGUGGAAUCAACGUCACCCUGAAAGCAAGUGACGGAGGAAAACCUUACUUUAACGAGACCAUCAACUACAAUGAACACUUUUGACGGGGAGGGGAUCAGAUGGGGUCGUCACUACCGACAGGCGGGCUGGUAUGCCCAUAUCAUGAUGUGGCUAGCCCUACCGCUCUGGGUUUUGACCAUCGUUCUUUUCUUCAUCCUCCUGAAGUACGGGGCCUACUUCUUGAUGAUGACCGGCGGGGUGAUGGUCAUUGCUAACAUCCUGUGGGCCACCAUUAGGAACGUCAACGAACUCGUCAUUCCGUUCAGUGCCGAACAUAAACUUGAGUUCCAUUUCGGACCGUCAUUUUAUUUGAAUCUCAUUACGGGACUCCUGUGCAUCAUUCUGGGGGUUGUGAUUUGGGUACUGGAUCUUAGGUUCCCGGAGUUGGUCACCAAUUUCUUUGGAGUCGAUCCUUUACAAGACGAUAGUUUUGUUCAAGGUGGCAGUAUUGAGACGGUAGAGAAUAAAAACGGGAUCGAGAUGCAAGGGGUGGAAAAUGGACACACCGCUCCGGCCCGCGGGAGUAGUCGCCCGUCCCGCCAGGCGGCAGCAGCUGAAGAUGACGACGAUGAUGACGAUGAAAUCUACGAACCUCCGGUAUUUGAACCACCCCCCGCACCCAAAGCUACCAAGUUUGAGAAACGGAAGUCACGUGGUCUGACGCAACGUCUGCAAAAACCGCGGCGCCGCCCACCUCCACCAGUCCCAGGAAACCAAGCGGACGAUGACGACCCAGAUGACCUCUACAGCAAUACCAGAAAUCCAGACCAGGUUCAUAUCAACAUGGGAUACCGCCAUUAACAACUGCAUUCAAGUUGGUCUUCAAACGAAAAUUUUCCACAUUCUGGACAUUUGUAAUGUCUUCGUGUCAGGAAUCUGGUGGUUUACAUUUAGUGGAACAUAUCCAAACAUUUUUCUCUUAUUUCUAUCAACAUCUUGUUUAAUAAGUGAUAUUAUAUAUAAAUUACUGUGUGUGCCUGUGUGUGAAUCCUCUUGAAGGAAUACUGUCGGUAAAUGACCCGGCAUCCCAGAAGUAUAAAAUAAUUGCCAAAUGAAUAGAAAACAAUUAUGAUACUUUUCAAGAGAUGCCACAUGUGUUAAAAUAUCUCUUUAUACUGAAUGAAUAAAUCUGAUACAGUUGAUAUAAAAUGGAAACGAGUAGAUGGUCCAAAAAAGUUUUUAUAUUGCACGAUUUCUCAAUAA